rnacentral:lncRNA from 1 species
AUAUGGUACCUAUGGAUCACCUUGGUGAAUGAGGCAGUGAAAAGAGAAUUUGGUUCCUGUUACUCCAUCUUGGCCAGAAGCGGAAGUUGAAUCUGUCUUUUGAAAGUGGAUUUCGUAUUUGGAAACAACCCAAAGAAAGGGGUCAACUGAUUCUUACUUUAUGAAUUGGUGAAUUGUUCUUCCCUGCUGUGGACAUUAACUGCUGAGAUCUUGGGAGGAACU